GUCAGUUUUUCAAGAAUUUUCAUUUUCUUUUUCCUUUGUUAUGCAAAAUUUUUUGGGGAUACAUAAGAAUCAAAGAAAUGCAUGGCAUGUUUUUUUCAUCAUGAAUGAUCAGACCCAACUCUAAAGAUUUUAUCAAUAAAUAACUAUUUUUAACUUAGUGCUUAUCUAUAAAUUCUGGAUAAGCUAAUUGAACUAUCAAGAUAUAUUGAUACAUCAAUAUAAUAGUUACUUUCUCUGGAAGUUAAGCUUUCCUAUAAAAUAUGCGAACAGAGAAGCAAAGACAAUUGGAAAGAUGAUAAGUAAAGCACCAACGAUGGUGAAAGCCAAAGUAAUCUUCUAAAAAAGCAGCAACAGUUUUAUUCUCACCGAAUGCUGAUAUUUCUUUAUUAACAUCUCUAAAUUGUGAGGUGAGCAUACCAUUUAGUAUCCAAGAAGUGGGGCAAAGGUAAUAGAGCCAGAGCCACCACUUGGGAAGACGCUGCAACAAGUAAAAUGCAUCAUUAUUCAGUCAAUUUUCUGUCUUAAACUAAGUUUUGUUCAAUUAUAUCCUGCUUAAUUCAUUAUAAUACAUUAUAGUCCCCUUAGAAGAAUUGAACCAAAAUUUUUAGACAGAAUCUACUAUCCCAUCCUUCUACAUAUUUAUCCCAUUUUUUUGAAUAUUGAAUUUGAUAGGGCAAUUUUAGAAUCUGAUUAUCUUUACCAAAACAGCCUUUGCAAUAUUAAAGAUUUAAUCCACAUCUUAAUUCUCUGCACACAAGUCUUUGAGGAUCAAUUUUGACAUACUUGAAGCAGAGGGAAUUCCCCUUGGAAAUACUAUAAAUAAAUGAAUUUGUUACUAAAGCUUGAUGGUCUUAAAACUUACUGGUUUUGGCACAAUGAACCCAGAGAACAACAUUAGUAAUUUGUAUGCAGACGAUGCUAGAAUCCAGACAUGUGAAUAUUUGGUGUCAAUGAUACUAACAGCAUUCCUAUGUAAUUGAAACAUUGCAAUGAACAGAACAUGGCAUAGAAUGCCCAGAAUAUGUAGUAGGCAGACAUGGAGUAACCAACCAUAGGAUAUAAAAUGGCAACAUUAAUGAUUGCUACAGUGAACAAGUAUGGUACCUCUACUAUCACCUACAAAACUAAAUACCAAGUUAUUGAAACUAAUAAAAGUGGUAUAAAUGUGAACCAAAUCUAAAGAAGUUUUAUCCUAGAAUUUUGAUCUAAACCUUUUUGAUGCAAAACAUUCCUUCCAUUGACAAAGCGAUCAAGACAACAUUGUUGAUUAGUUUAGUGCUCAUAGAUCUGCAAUAGCCUUAAAACUUCUCUCAGGAAAAUAUCCAAAAAUGUUCAAGCUCCCUAGUGCCUCUCAAUCAAAAGCUUGUAGGGCUUACAGCAUCAAGUCUAAGAAGAUUUUGAUUUGCAGAGAUGUAGAGAUUGAUGAAAGUGCCUAUUGAGAUUGGAAUAAGGGUCAGGUGGUCAGAAAGCCUACGAGUGAUCAGUUGAGCUCCAUCAAUGAAGAACAAAGUGUUGAAAAUGUUGUUCCUAAAGACCUAGAAGAAUCUGAUUCUAAGACUGACUCACCAACGCCAAAGUUUCUGAUGCGUAUGAGAAUGCAGCAUUGCCAUUUCAGAACCAGCAGACUAUGAAGAAGCUUUCAGGAGUGAAGAAUGGGUUAAGGCUAUGAAAGAGGAAAGGAUGUAAUUGGUGUAAAGUGGGCGUUCAGGACCAAGCUGAAUCCUGAUGGUUCUGUUUUUUAACACAAGGUCAGGUUGGUUGUAAAGGGCUAUGCACAGUUAGCAGGAGUUGAUUAUGGGGAUAACUUUGCACUAGGCCAGGCAUGAAACCAUAAGGUUUUUGUUGGCUUUUGCAGCUUGUCAAGGUUGGAAAGUGUUUCAUCUUGAUGUAAAUUUGCUUUUUUGAAUGGUCUGCUGGAGGAGGAGAUCUAUGUUCAUCAACCACUAGGGUUUGAAGUUGUAGGGAAAGAUAAGUUUACAGGUUGCAUAAAGCCUUGUAUGUCUUGAAACAGGCUCCAAGAGCCUGGUACUCAAUAAUUGACACUCACCUAUCCACUAGGAGUGAAAAUGAACCAACUUUGUAUGUAAAGUUGCUUGAUGAUGGAAAUAGGCUAAUUGUUUUCCCUAUAUGGUGAGGACAUGCUAGUAAGAAGCAGUUGCCGCGAGCUUGUUUGAUGAAUUCAAGGUUCAAAUAAAAAAGGAGUAUGAGAUGUUAGAUUUGGGCAUGAUGAAUUAUUUUCUUGGCAUGGAAGUUUAUCAUCUGAAUGUUCGGAAUUUUACUGUCACAACAAAAAUACUCUUGGGAUGUAUUGAAUAAAUUUAAAAUGGAGCAAUGUAAGCCUAUAGCUACUCCAUUAGUUCAAAAUGUAAAAUUCAUUGGUGAUGAUGGUCAAGCUAAAGUGGAUGCAUCAGUUUACAGGAGUAUGAUAGGCAGCCUACUGUAUUUGACAGCAACUAGGCCAGAUUUAACGUUUCCUGCUAGUUUGCUGUCAAGGUUCGUACAUUCGCCAACCUUGAACGACCUUGCUGCUGUGAAAUCGGUCUUCAGGUAUUUAAAGAGGUACUAUUGCUCUUGGUAUAUGGUUUGAAAAGGCAAGGAUGGGAAAUUGCAAGGACAUGUUGAUAAGUGACUGGUCAAGAAGUGUUGAUGAUGGAAGGAGCACUUUAGAGUUUCUAUUCUCAUUUGGCUCAGGUUCAUUUUCUUGGAAUUCUAGAAGCAAGAUUGUGUGGCUCAGUCAACUUCUGAAGCAGAGUAUAUUGCGGCUACUGGAGCAGCAAACCAAGCCAUUUGGCUCAGAAAACUGAUGUCAGACCUGGGUGAGAAGCAAAUGGAUGCUACUGUUACCAAAAUUGACAACAAGUCUGCCAUUGCAAUUGCACAAAACCCUGUGCAGCAUGGUAGAACCAAACAUAUAAAUGUGAAGUAUCAUUCACCAAGCAGCACUCUUCUUCUCCUCCAUAGCUUUGUUGGUCAGAAAGUGCAGAUGAAAUGCUGCGACAACUUAACACAUGACUUCUGAAUGAUGAUCUUAUGCUUCUUCCCAACUCCUCUGACUCAGUCCGCAGUGAUCAUAUCUUGUCAGGGCCUACCACCUGAGCAGAGCCAUUGCUGUGCGAGCUCACUAGUAGGACUUAAAUCACAUACACACCUGAAGUCCAUACACAUCUGAAGUGAGGUGUAUAAAAUUUGGAGUGUUGAAUAAAAUACACUAAUUCGUUUUUAAUAUGAGCUUAUAUAUAAGCUGAUUACACAUCAAAAUGAGUUGGUCAAUUUUGAUGAUAUAAUUCAAUCAUUUAUUUUUUGUUCGUUCAUUAUUUAUAUUUUCAAUGUGGGACUUU
rnacentral:misc_RNA from 1 species